GCACCGUCCGGACUCCAAAGUCUGACGCAUCGCACUGAAUUAAGAAAUUUCUCUUGAAGUCCGCAUGCACAAGGACUGGGGCUGUUCUUAACGCUAUUUUCAAGGACUCUACGGCUAGCACUGUAAGAAAGAAAACUUUGAGUUACCAGUUUUCUUCAGCGAUUCAGUGAGCGGAGCAACCAACGUUGCGAAGUUCUUUAUAAACCUGCGGUACCAUCCAGCAGUGUCGAGGAACACUCUCACCUCCUUCAUGGUCCUUAGCUCUUGCAUCCUUCUGAUCGCUGCUACUCGUCCGGGAUCCAUCCAUAGACGCCCUCCACCAUCGAUAAGACCAAGGUCUAAUCCCUAAGCAAAACUUCGACUUACCCACAGCUUUGGUUAAUCCCGCUGUCUUCAGGCAUUCUGCGACUCGGCGAAGGUACUUAAGAUGCGUCUGGAUAUCUGGAGCCUGUAUCGGCAGAUCAUCUAAUUAGACGAAGACGUUGGAGCGGAUCUCGGCUGGAAUUACUCGAUCCAUAAACCUUACCAGCCGCUGCGCCGCGUUCCAGAGUCCGAAAGGCAUUACAAGGAAUUAAUAGAGAAGCCGACCAGAAACCGUAAAGGCCGUCAAUUCCUUGCUUCUCGGAUCCAAUUCGAUCUGCCAGAACGCGAACUUUAAAUCCAACCUGGAAAUAUAGUACUUUUGGUCGAUUCUAGAAAGAAUGCCACCGAUACUAGGCAGUGGGUCUAGACACUACCGUCGUGCCUUUGCUCCACGGGCUCUUGAUCUCCUCGAUGACUCCGAGAGCCAACAUCUUGUCCCCCUCAUCCUAGACCACCUUCUGCUUCGCGGGCGACAUGGGAUAGGUCGAUCCUUGAAGACCUUGGCUCCUUCAAUCAGCUCGAUGUGUGUUUUCUUGUCGUCCGCAGACCGUCCUUUUCGAACGUGAGAAACAUCUCCUGGAUCUCGGCCGUUUCCGGAAUCGAUCCCUGACCUUCUGGACUUUUCUGGACACCAAUCUCAAGCCGCUCAACUGGUGCUCGGCGAAGAUCUGGUUUCUGACCUCAAAAAAUCGGUGCAUCCGUUCUUCAUACGGACGUUUACUGCUUCGCGGGAUUCUAUUCGUCCACCUCGUGCACAUCCGAAUCCUCUUCAGUCUCAGAAAGCGCGGCCUCGCUCACCAUGGGCUUGUCCCCCGGGGCUAAGGUGCGGUUGCUCCCCAUAUGAGGCGCGUUCUCGGCGGUCGAAGUUGCGUUCGACCGCGAUGCACUCGUCCCGCAGCUCGUCCACCAUUGUGCGAGAGGCCAGCUGCUGCAUCGUGUGGACUUAAUCCUCUGCACUCUCUACAGGCUGUUGCUCCCGCUGUAGGAGUUCGUGCAUCCUUUCGUGCUCCGUUUGGCGACCUGUCCAUCAGCGAAGUACGCAACUGGGACCACGUGGACUCAAUACCUCUUUCGAGCUCGUCCCUUGAGCAGCACGUGGUACUGCCGCUGCAGAAACUCCACCCGGAACACGAAGUCCUCCACCGAGUUGCUGUCGUUCUCGCCGACGAAGUAAACUCCCUACCGAUCCAUCCAGACCUAUUGGCUGAUACAGUCCUGUCCCACAUUGGCAUACUGACUCUGUUCCUCGCGGAAAUCGGGAGCUCUGCGGUCCUCGAUGCGCCAUUUCUGCGCGCCUUCAUGAUUAAGCCGGGGCCCGUUCCCUAAGACGUAUCUUGGACUGCUACUCUCGAACUUCGGAGAAUCCCAUGCCCUUCUAGGCGACUUCGAUGGCACCCUUGGUGGUCGCCGGUAACUGCCGACCGAGAGUCCUCGGGGACCGCACCUCGCGGAUCCUGGCAUGAAUUCCGUGAAGCAGACCCCGCACCGCCCUUGUCUUCCAAGGACCACAAAGCCUUGUCUUCCCCGGCUGAAGGAACCACCGAACGAAGCCCAUGCCCGUGCUUGUUUCCUACUUCGAUAUCUUUUGCGCAGCCACCCUUGCAUUGGUGCCCCGAGGGACGUCAAUCUCCCCCACAGGGACAACUCACUCACACAUUUCGGGUUUAACAGACAUUUAAUAAACACGCCUUCAAGACCAAAACUUGGCAGCCGUCUUCAAUUUUACGCGGUCAAAGCGGAGAAUACGUUCCCCACAAGGGACAUACGCAAUGCGCUCGUGUCGGGUCACC